rnacentral:lncRNA from 1 species
GCUGGCUUUGAACUCAAGGAUCUGCCUGCCUCUGCCUCCGAGUGCUGCUUUGGUUUGAUGUUGUUUGCUUUUGUUUUGUCUUGCCUUUUACAUUUUCUAAGCCUUCUAUUAUUCAAUUGUGAAUUAGUUAAAAAAAAAAAAAGAUUCACAAUAUUUGGAGAAACUCGAUUUUAUAUGCAAAAUUAAAAUUAUCCUUGUUAAUCAGUUUUUUCUUCAAAAUUAUUGUUCACAAUGGCUACCCACAUCAAUUUUCACAAGUUCAGCUGUGCCAGUGUUCUCCAUCUAGCACCAAGCAUGGUGCUCAGUAGUGUCCAUUAGCUCUUCAUCCUAGGGAACAGUGUUCCCUUAACUACACUUCUCCCUCCUGUGGUCUUUGCUCCUUGAACACAACUCUCACUGACCUCUGGGUACACUGUCACCCAGAGUGUCCUGUGAAUCUGUGUCCUCACAUUUCUCACACUCGCCCUCCUGUCCAUUUCUUUCUUAUCCUCGUGUCUCAGAUUGUACCUGGAGGAGAGCUUGGAAAAGUGUCUUGUCAUUUCUGUCUUUCAAAGACUGGAGUGGUUUCCUUCUUAACAGGUCUGCAAGGAUUUUCUCCCAAAGCACUAAAAGAAUCAAGUUUCUUCACAAACACCGAGAAGUUAAAAGCACAACUCCUGCAAAUUCAGACAGAACUGAAUAAUUCAAAGCAAGAAUAUGAAGAAUUCAAAGAAUUAACUCGGUAAAGUGUAAAUACACAUGCUCACCUGUUUUCCUAAUAUUUUAAUGUUAAUGAUAGAUAACUUGGCAUGUUACUUUAAAUAUGAACCUUUCUAGCAACUAAUUUGUUUUGUUCUAUGGAAACACUUUUUUUCUUGUAUCUCUCUUCACUAUAUAUAGCUGACAGUAGAUCAUGCAGAUAUUUAUAUAUCUGCAGUAGACCAUGCAGAUGUUUUAUCCAGUGCUCAUUUGCUGAGUGUCAAUUGAUAUUGCUGAGUAAGUUCAUCUCAUUACCAAUUAAAAUCACAGUUAUAGACUAAAUCAAGAUUUCUUUUUAGAAAUUAAAGACUUUUUAAUACUCCUAUUUGAUGCUCUUUGUAUAAAAGGAUAAACUAUAUUGAUAGUAUAACCAAGGUUAAUCCUAACCUGACAGCAUACUGACUUGAAUUUGAGCUCUACAAUUUACUAAUUGAAUACCUUUAAUAACCAUCAGUCUGUGAGCCCUGAUUUACAUGCCUGGAAAAUGAUGGUAAUGAUUUGGGAAGUAUUUCUGACUCAAAAGCCAAAUCACAUGUGAGCAUAAACUGUAAUGUACUUAAAAAUGCUUAACAUUCCUCACUACCUGAAGGUACUAAGAUUUAACAAUGUCUAUCAGGAAAAAGCAGCUAGAGCUAGAAUCAGAGCUUCAGUCUUUGCAAAAAGCAAACCUCAAUCUUGAAAACCUUUUGGAGGCAACAAAAGUCUGCAAACGCCAGGAAGUUUCCCAGCUGAAUAAACUACAUGCUGAAACACUCAAGGUAGGUAUCUGGAAUGUCUAUUUAAAUUGGAACAGUCUCUUUUAUUAAUAAAAGUUAUUUCCAAACACAGAUGGCAGAAUACCCUAGUAUUCUGAAAGACUCCAGUGGCAACAUCAAGGAGGAGUAAUAAAACAUUUGGGAUCAAAUUCUGUUUCGUCAUGAACUUUAGACAGUGCUUCCUAACAUCUGAACUUUUUUCUGUUAAUUCUUUUUUUUCUUUUUCCUUCUUUUCUUUGAGACAGGGUCUCAAAGCCAAAGCUUUCCUCAAACUCACUCUGUAGCUUAGGCUGGCCUUGAACUCUUGAUUCUCUUGUUUCCACCCCUAUGAGUACAAGGUGUGUGCCACUAUGUCUAGCUUUGCAGUAUGCUUUUUGUAACAUUCAAAGAUAGGUCUUUUAUUGUUGUUGUGUUGUUUUUUUUCAAGACAGGAUUUCUCUAUAUAGCCUUGGCUGUCCUGGAACUCACUUUGUAGACCAGGCUGGCCUCGAACUCAGAAAUCCACCUCCCUCUGCCUCCCAAGUGCUGGGAUUAAAGGCGUGCGCCACCACUGUCUGGCUCAAAGAUAGGUCUUAAGCCAAGGAUAGUGGUGCAGUCCUUUAGAGUCAGAUCUACUUGAGUUCGAGGACAGCCAGGGCUACACAGAGAAACCCUGACACAAAACAAAAACAAAAAACACAGGGUUGGGGAUUUAGCUCAGUGGUAGAGAGCUUGCCUAGCAAGCGAGCACAAGGCCCUGGGUUCGGUCCUCAACUCUC